UACGGGGGGGGCAAGCGUUGUUCGGAAUUACUGGGCGUAAAGGGCGCGUAGGCGGUUCGCUAAGUUGAAUGUGAAAACUCUGGGCUUAACCCAGAGCCUGCAUUCAAUACUGGCGGGCUAGAGUUCUGGAGGGGAUAGCGGAAUUCCUGGUGUAGCAGUGAAAUGCGUAGAGAUCGGCAGGAACACCAGUGGCGAAGGCGACUGCCUGGGGAGUAACUGACGCUGAGGCGCGAAAGCUGGGGGAGCAAACGGG
rnacentral:rRNA from 1 species